rnacentral:rRNA from 1 species
UCCUACGGGGGGCAGCAGUGGGGGAUAUUGCACAAUGGGGGGAACCCUGAUGCAGCGACGCCGCGUGGGUGAAGAAGCGCCUCGGCGCGUAAAGCCCUGUCAGCAGGGAAGAAAAUGACGGUACCUGAAGAAGAAGCCCCGGCUAACUACGUGCCAGCAGCCGCGGUAAUACGUAGGGGGCAAGCGUUAUCCGGAUUUACUGGGUGUAAAGGGGGCGCAGACGGCGAUGCAAGCCAGGAGUGAAAGCCCGGGGCCCACCCCCGGGACUGCUCUUGGAACUGCAUGGCUGGAGUGCAGGAGGGGCG